rnacentral:misc_RNA from 1 species
UAAGGAGGGGGCAAGCGUUGUCCGGCAUUAUUGGGCGUAAAGCGCGCGUAGGCGGUGUCUUAAGUCUGAUGUGAAAUCUUGCGGCUCAACCGCAAGCGGUCAUUGGAAACUGGGGAACUUGAGUACAGAAGAGGAGAGCGGAAUUCCACGUGUAGCGGUGAAAUGCGUAGAUAUGUGGAGGAACACCAGUGGCGAAGGCGGCUCUCUGGUCUGUAACUGACGCUGAGGUGCGAAAGCGUGGGGAGCGAUCAGG